rnacentral:lncRNA from 1 species
UCGGCAUAUCAAAGAACCCCAAUUAUUCAAUUUUGAUGAAAUCAAACAAAGUUUAAUUUUGGACCCUUUGGGCCCCUUAUUCUGUUCGGACCAAAACUCCCAAAAUCAAUUCCAACCUUCCUUUUAUGGUCAUAAACCUUGUGUUUAAAUUUCAUAGAUUUCUAUUUACUUAUACUAACGUUAUGGUGCGAAAACCAAGAAAAAUGCUUAUUUGGGUCCCUUUUUGGCCCCUAAUUCAUAAACUGUUGGGACCUAAACUCCCAAAAUCAAUACCAACCUUCCUUUUGUAGUCAUUAACAUUGUGUUUAAAUUUCAUUGAUUUCUAUUUACUUAAACUAAAGUUAUUGUGCGAAAACCAAGAAUAAUGCUUAUUUGGGCCCUUUUUUGGCCCUAAUUCCUAAACUGUUGAAACCAAAACUCCCAAAAUCAAUCCCAACCGUUCUUUUGUGGUCAUAAACCUUGUGUCAAAAUUUCAUAGAUUUCUAUUAACUUUUACUAAAGUUAGAGUGCGAAAACUAAAAGUAUUCGGACGACGACGACGACGACGCCAAUGUGAUAGCAAUAUACGACGAAAAAUUUUUCAAAUUUUGCGGUCGUAUAAAAAGU